rnacentral:tRNA from 2 species
ACCAAAAUAGCUCAAUAUGGUUAGAGUUAUGGUGUGAAGGACCAUAGGUAAUCAGUUCGAAUCUGAUUUUUGGUG